GCGACGCUGCGUGGUUCGACAGGACACACUAUUCCUGGGGCCUUACUCAAUCUCAAGGGAACUGUCCCUGACCUGGCUCGUGGGCCGGGUCAUCACGGUGCCCACCUACUUUGUAGGUUUCCGGGAUUGCAAACGUCCAUCGGCCAAGGUGGCUCGCC
rnacentral:other from 1 species